rnacentral:rRNA from 1 species
AUUGAACGCUGGCGGCAUGCCUUACACAUGCAAGUCGAACGGCAGCACGGGAGCAAUCCUGGUGGCGAGUGGCGAACGGGUGAGUAAUAUAAUCGGAACGUGCCCGGUCGUGGGGAUAACGUAGCGAAAGCUACGCUAAUACCGCAUACGAUCUACGGAUGAAAGCGGGGGAUCGCAAGACCUCGCGCGAUUGGAGCGGCCGAUAUCAGAUUAGGUAGUUGGUGAGGUAAAGGCUCACCAAGCCGACGAUCUGUAGCUGGUCUGAGAGGACGACCAGCCACACUGGGACUGAGACACGGCCAGACUCCUACGGGAGGCAGCAGUGGGGAAUAUUGGACAAUGGGCGAAAGCCUGAUCCAGCAAUGCCGCGUGAGUGGAUGAAGGCCUUAGGGUUGU